rnacentral:rRNA from 1 species
AUGCAAGUCGAGCGGUAACAUUUCUAGCUUGCUAGAAGAUGACGAGCGGCGGACGGGUGAGUAAUGCUUGGGAAUAUGCCUUAGGGUGGGGGACAACAGUUGGAAACGACUGCUAAUACCGCAUAACGUCUACGGACCAAAGGGGGCUUCGGCUCUCGCCCUUAGAUUAGCCCAAGUGGGAUUAGCUAGUUGGUGAGGUAAUGGCUCACCAAGGCGACGAUCCCUAGCUGGUUUGAGAGGAUGAUCAGCCACACUGGAACUGAGACACGAUCCAGACUCCUACGGGAGGCAGCAGUGGGGAAUAUUGCACAAUGGGCGCAAGCCUGAUGCAGCCAUGCCGCGUGUGUGAAGAAGGCCUUAGGGUUGUAAAGCACUUUCAGUAAGGAGGAAAGGUUAGUAGUUAAUACCUGCUAGCUGUGACGUUACUUACAGAAGAAGCACCGGCUAACUCCGUGCCAGCAGCCGCGGUAAUACGGAGGGUGCGAGCGUUAAUCGGAAUUACUGGGCGUAAAGCGUACGCAGGCGGUUUGUUAAGCGAGAUGUGAAAGCCCCGGGCUCAACCUGGGAACUGCAUUUCGAACUGGCAAACUAGAGUAUGAUAGAGGGUGGUAGAAUUUCAG